CGGCUCGUGGGGGGAGCGCUCCUGGCCCCGAGUGUUUCUGUCUCUGCUCGGGAGGGAGGUGAUGCAUGGGCCACCGCCGACUUCUGCGGGAGUCUCAUGCAGUAAUACUGUUUUGUGGCUUAGUUGGUGACAGUGUAUCAGGAGCAUUUCCCCACCCAACAAAACUCAUUUGAUGAGUGUUUCGCCAGGUGGGAAACAUGGAACAGCAGGCACUCAGAAGAGAUCUCAGCAUUGACAGACCUGGAUUCUCUCCUGCUUCCAGUGGAGACAGAGGCCCAUAAAAUCCAUUGGCUGGAGGGGUAGCCCUCGAGUCAGGGCAGUGUGCAACCCAGCGUCUCAAGGAUGUGGCAGGAUGUGUGCCAGGCUGAUCUUGCCCCAUCACCUGAGGCCCUGUCACUGCAUCAGCCCUAUUACCCUCUGGGCUCUUGCCCUGGCCAUAGCAGGCCAGUAGGAGGUAGGGAGAGGGCCAAGGUGCCAAUCACUUGGAGGCUAUAAAAAAAUAACACCAGAAGAUAAACUAGAAAUGACACUAGAAAUGUAAAGGACUGCCCCAUCAGUCACUUGGGGUGACAGUGGAGGCCAAGACCCCUCUCCCUUUAAGGGAUCGGCUUGAGUAGUGACCGUAACAAGGAAACCAUGUCUGCUUUAACUGCAAAAGUUUAGUUUAGCUAAGCUGGCUAUGCAAGUCUGAGGCCCUUGGCCUCUCCAAAUCCUCAACAAGGAGCCAGAGAAUCUUGGUUUGAAGACCUUGCCUGCACUCAUUGCCCAUCUUAUCCACACAGCACACCAGAUUCACCUUCCUUAAUGCCUUCUGAUUGGGUCAUUUGACUCCUGGCUCAACAAGAGCCUGACUCUACCUAUCCAGACCUUUUUCUGUCUUCAAAUUCAGCUCAAGGUAUGUUUUCCUUUUUCAACAACAAA
rnacentral:lncRNA from 10 species